rnacentral:lncRNA from 1 species
GCCUGUGUGCAGUACAUCCAAUUUGUUUUUCUAGCAGCCACCACUGCUGUGGGAGCUGAGCUGAGCUGAGCUGGAGGAGGCAAACCUCCCUAAACCUGCAUCCCAAAUCCAGCCCAGGCAAUAUUUAUUUAUAGCAGUUUCAGCUGGAAACACCAGUGCCAAACGCUGACUAUUCUGUUUUCAUGUUUUACCUUUCUAUUGCUCAGUCAAAACAAGUUAAUUUUAAAUGGAAUGUUUUCAUCCUAAGAGUAAAAAAAAAAAAAAAAAAAAAAAACACAACAAAAAAACCAAAACAAAAAAAAAACCCAGUAAAAAACCCCAAAAAACAAAGCAACUCUUUGUGAAGUGUUGUUUUUAGUUUUACCACUCGAAAACUGAUAGAGUUCUGAUUUCCGUUGUCUAUAAAACUUUCAGGUUUCGACCUUUCAGUCUUAUUUAUUGUUCCAUAAACUUUUGUAUUACUUUUUAAACCCCUGCAGACAAGGAUUUACUCCUGGAUGAGCACCCACAGUCACCCCAUGAUACAGCACAGCAGAAGCCAGUGCAGACAAAUCCACAUUUCUUGAAGCAUAAAAUCCCUCACAACAGCAUGGAAAAGGCUUCUGUUGGACAGAAAACCUCUUAGAUUUUGUCCCACUGGGUUUUGUCUUUUCUCACUGAUUUUUGGGUUGUUUUUUUUUUUUUUCCUCAUUAUCUUAUUGUUUUUCUUACUUUAUGUAGCAUGGAAAGAGGAUUGAGCCUUGCCUUCAAGAAUUCACCAGGCUGAACAGCACCUUGCACAGCCUGCGAAGGGAAUAACAUAAUUUUAAAUUUAUGGGUGCCAUCCAUAUUCUCUCAAGCUUAACAGCAGCUGUUUCUGCUUUUCCUGCUCCCCCCAAGAAGUGUUUGUAUGAGGGGAAGAGGAACAGAAACUGCUCCUGAAUUGCUGGCCCAAAGAAAUGCCAUUCUGCAGGAGAGAUGUGGUCCGUGUCAAAAAUGAAAUUUAUUUUAUACUCUUCAUAUUUUUUCUGUCAGGAUGUGGCUAGACUGGGUAUUUUAGUGCAGAGGUACUUGAGGGAGCUAACUUCUCACCAACCUGUACAUUAAAAAUAAUCUUAUAAAUAAUAAAUGUAUCCAUGCAGCUUUGCCUUGAGGAAUUGGUCCAGGUACACUUAUUUGUAAUGUGUAGGUAUAUACAGGUAUUUUUAUAAAUCAUAAAAAUCCCCAAGACACAGAGAGUAAUAACAGGAAAAUAAAAAGUGUAAUUCUGCUUAUGUUGUCUCUUUCCAGGUUUGCCAGCCUGAGUAUAUUCCAAGGUGAUGAAUACCAUGGGACAACGUGAAACUCACAGACUGGUUUGAUUUCACUAUGAACACGGUCCUGUUCCAUGAUGAGUUUAUUCUCAUUUUGUUCAUAUUUGGACAUUAAUCUUCUCAAUGUUUGUGAAAAUCUCUGGAGAAGAGGGAUUCACGUGAAACACAAGGAGGAGAAUGAAGGCACCUCAGUGAUCUCUGAGAGAUUUUAUGCACUCAGCCCAGGAGCACAGCAGGAUUCAUGGACAGCACCAUGGUUUGGAACCAGAGCUCUGCUAUGGGCUGGUUUUUAGACCUUUACCAUGGCUCCUGAAGGACUUCUGGCAGGAUCUCCAGGAGAUGGAUGCACGUGCUGAGGUUUGCAAAGGGGUGAAGGGACAACAGAUACCUCAUGGGCAGCUGGUGCUUGCAGCCCUGUGUUUUUUUCCUUUGGAAAUACCAGAAAAAUUGAUUUCUGCUGGCUGACAAGGAGAAGCAGGGCCUCCACAUCACUGGUGUCUUUCCAGUCAAGUACCCAACUCCUCUGGGGCUUUUUAGUGCUGUAGCCUUGGAGACAACUAGAAAGAAAUCAAUUAUUGAGUCAAUGCCAAGUGGGAAAACGAGACCAAGAGCCUUCCAAGAGCACAAAAAACUGAGAUGAGACUGAAAAAAAUAAACAAGAAGAAUGGUAGUCCUACCUCACUCUGAAGUGGAGCUCACAUAAAAUAAAUGCUGGUGGGUUUGCUUUCCAAGUGGAACAUGGGAGAGAGUGAGCGAGGGAGAUUGCGAAAGAAAAAUUAUUUGUACAUUAAAUAUCUGGAGGGAGCACUUUCAGUCAUGCUGGAGACUCCAAUUUUUUCCAAAGCAUCCUGCAGCAGACUGCACAAAUGCCUAGGAAAGAGUAAAGGUGUCUUGGAUCAGACAGCACCCAAUAUGUUUAUGCAGCCCUGAUGGGAAGAGACAUGUUUAUUCAAGCUGCUUGCCAAAAUUAUAUAUGCUGGAGGCUGCUAAGGAAGGGAAAGAACUUAAUAUUUGUAACAGUGCAAUGUUAUAUAUAUGUAUAAGAAAACCCACCUAAGCAAAAUGGAUUCUAAGUAAUUUCAAGCCAGGAUUUCACAAACUGGAAAGGAACAAGGGAGAGGAAAAACAGGGUGGCGGACAGGAAAAUGUUUUGAGUUGGAUUCUUACCUCACAGGAGCUCCACAGUGAGUCAGUGUGAGCAGGAAUUGAGUGUGUUGUCCUCCACAGAGGGGACGUCACUGUCCCACCCUCCCUCCCUUCCCAACUCCACCAGUACCUCCAUCCUUGAAUGCCUGUCGGGCAAUUGGGACCCACAAACCAGCCUAGCUGAACCCCAAGUAUUUUUUCUUGGGGUGAAUUAAUUCCCUGAAUCAACAAACCAGCAAGUUUGUAGGUAUAAUGGAAAAUAAUAUCUACAUCAUUCCAUUCCUCCAAUGGAAUAAUAUCUAUAGAAUGCCAUUACUCUGAGAUUGUGGCAUCUCGUCACUAAGUUGAAAAAAUAAAUAACCAAAAACUCCAUGACCUUGGAUGCUUGAAAAAUUGCAGAGAUCCUGAAAAGCACAUUUUCUAGCCCAAGCCUACUUGCUCUAAACUUUGGAGCUGUAUCUCUUUGCUAGAUUGAGCUGGAUCUCACUAUUGAAAUGUAACUCAUAUGCAAGAGCCUCGUAUAAUCUGCCCCAAGGAAUUAUUACUGCACUUAAACCAAAUUGUUUUGCAAGCACUGGGUUUCUGUUCUGUAAUAAAUCUAAACUUUCUUUGUCUUGCUUUAUUUUGCUUCAGUGAACAACAUCCACUCAUUGUCUUUUCUUCCCGAGACGUUUGAAUAAUUAUUGUUUUCAAAGCAAGAGGUUUUGUUUGAUUAAGUAUAAAUAGUUGUAUAAAUCUGCAUACCUCAAAACACAGAAAAAGAAAGACAGGGAGAUGAGACAGCAGAAAGAAAAUUAGGAGAGACGAUUAAAGGAGAAAAAGAGAGAAAAUAGAGUCUUUCUGUUUGAGUCACUGCAGCUCUUUGACUUGCAUUUGUGAUAUUUUCAAGGAGCUUGAGAUCUUGGUUCUCAAGAAGAACUUGGAAAGACCCAGUUAUGUAGCAGAUGAUUUUGUGGACACAUAUCCUGCAUCCCUCUGUCUCCCUCACCUGUCUAGAGCCAGAGGCAAGCACAGAAGCAGGGUCCUGCAGAAUCAGCUGAGUCUGUCUUGUUUUUUAAUUAAAUGUGAGAAAUCCCUUAGCUAUUGUUUUAACAUUUAAAAAAAAUAAAUUUUUUAACAGGAGCAUUUUUACCACUUUCUUAUCAAGCCAAACAACAAAGUGGGGAGUGGGGUGAAGAAAUUUACCUCUACCUCAGCCAACACAAGGACAGGGUUUGUCCACUUUUGCUUUGCCCCUUUCCUAGAAAUUCUCUCACAGGAUUAUCCUAAAACUCUCUGCCCGUACCCCAGGGACUGGAUCGUCACCAGCCCCAUCCACCUGCAUGGGAAAGCAGCAAGCAGGAAGGAAAAGGAGGCUGUGAGUGCCAUGGAAAUGGCCAUUCAGCAGGGAUCAGCAGGGCGAAGGAGAAAGGAUUUCGAUGCAGGCUGUGUCCAGAUGUGCAGCUGCAGUGUGGGGAAUACCUUGCCUCACACAGCACAGUUUGCACUUUUAUCGUGUGGAAGCUGAAUUCUUUGGGGUUUUUCUUAGGCAAACAAUUGCUGUGCUAUUCUUGAAGCAGCACUUCCUCCCUCUGGGAAAGCCCAGGCACCUCAGCUUCCAUUCUUGUGAUCCAAAUCUUGGCUCUCCUGCUCAAGCAAUGCAUUUUUCUGAUAUUGUAGCUCAGAAAAAAUAUAAAAUGCAAUAAAAUCUUCAAAAUACUUAAUAGAGUGGAUCUUGAAGCUUUAUAGGCAAAGAUCUUGGGUGCCCUUUACCCUGUAAUUUCACUGAAAUACUUUGUAACCGAAGAAAUUUAAAAACAAAUCUAUCAAAGGAUUUAAUUUUCCAUGAUUUAAGCAUAGUUUUAAGGAACAUUUUGCACUUACUGGCUUUGUGCUUUGUGUAAAUGUACUAGGUGUUGCCAAUAUUUUUUAAUCUGUAUCUGCAUUAACUUGUAUUUACCAUCUGUUCCUUAAAUGGAACCCCUGUAAUAGGUUAUGUUUAACUUUAGAUUAAUGAAGAAAAAUGGGCCUGCAAUCACAUUUUGUUGUAAACUGUUGUCUCAGCUCUACCUUUAGUGUCAUUUACAGCAGGUGGGCAAUGACAAGGGAUUUUGUGGUGGUGCCUCAGCAAAGUGGGCCAUGGCCAGGCCCUGUGGAAGGUCACCCUCUGAGCCUCUCAGGAAUUUCUGAUGGGAAAAAUUGGUGCUAUUUCCAAUAGGAAACUUCAGUAGAAUUGGAUGUAUUGGAAUAAGGAAUAUUUGUCCUGCAAGGGACAAUUCUAUUGGUAAGUCAGUAUUUUCAGGGGAGGUGUUUAUUAAAAUUUCUCAGUUUGAAAUAGCUGUCUUGGGGAGGUUUUAGCAAAGUCAGUGUGUCAUCUGGCAACCCAAGACAUUUGUAUCAAACAGGACACCCCAAACUCACUACCUCUGAAUCUGUAGCUCCAAGUGCAGAGAUUAGAGUCCUUUGAGGACUAAAAUGUCACGUUCAAAAGGAAUAACUUGGUUUUUACAUUGUUUGGAAAUGUCUUCCGUGCCUCCUAGAGAACAUACAAACAAAAAGAGAGCAAAAACAUACAAAAGAAUAUUCCAAGAAAAUGUUGCAACGAGAAGAUAAUGACAGAGAACUUCCUCUGUUUGGAUCAGCAAAUACAAAGAAAAUCUCUACAAACAAACUUCUUUCAGUAAGGCUACGAGUGAAGUUCACAGCACAGGUCAUGAGAUCCUGGGCUGUAACUUCCAUUUUGGGGGGGAAUUACUGGAAGAAAUUGCUGCCAGCCCUGGUGGGGGCUGUGUGUGUUGUGGGGCCAGGUCUCCAGCUGGCUGUGGGGCUGACCCACACCACCCCUGAGCCUGCUGCAGAAAACAAGCUCAGCGUCCAAACUGCAGCUCUUCAGAGAUAAAUAAGAAAUAUCUGCUGGUUUUCAGGCAGCAAGGACGCUGCCAUGUGCAGGUCACCACUCCAAGCCUGACACCAGAGCAUCAGUCAGUCCACCUGGGAGCUCUUGCUUUAUGCCCACAGUGUUUUCCCCUGUGUUUAAUAUCCUCUAGUUCACUGAUUUAAUCAUGGAGCUCUGGCCAAGAUGACAUAAU